UACGUAGGGUGCAAGCGUUAAUCGGAAUUACUGGGCGUAAAGCGUGCGCAGGCGGUUGUGCAAGACAGAUGUGAAAUCCCCGGGCUUAACCUGGGAAUUGCAUUUGUGACUGCACAGCUAGAGUGUGUCAGAGGGGGGUAGAAUUCCACGUGUAGCAGUGAAAUGCGUAGAUAUGCGGAGGAACACCGAUGGCGAAGGCAAUCCCCUGGACCUGUACUGACGCUCAUGCACGAAAGCGUGGGGAGCAAACAGG
rnacentral:rRNA from 1 species